UACGAAGGGAGCGAGCGUUGUUCGGAAUCACUGGGCUUAAAGCGUGCGUAGGCGGAUUAGUAAGUCAGAAGUGAAAUCCCAGGGCUUAACCCUGGAACUGCUUUUGAGACUGCUAGUCUUGAAUUCGGUAGAGGUUGGUGGAAUACCCAGUGUAGAGGUGAAAUUCGCAGAUAUUGGGUGGAACACCGGUGGCGAAGGCGACCAACUGGACCGACAUUGACGCUGAGGCACGAAAGCGUGGGUAGCAAACAGG
rnacentral:rRNA from 1 species